rnacentral:rRNA from 1 species
UACGUAGGAGGCAAGCGUUGUCCGGAAUUACUGGGCGUAAAGCGCGUGUAGGUGGUGGGGCAAGUCUGCUGUGAAAGCGCCUGGCUUAACCGGGCGAGGUCGGCGGAAACUGUUCGACUCGAGGACGGUAGAGGGGGGUGGAAUUCCCGGUGUAGUGGUGAAAUGCGUAGAGAUCGGGAGGAACACCUGUGGCGAAGGCGGCCCCCUGGGCCGGCCCUGACACUGAGACGCGAAGGCGUGGGGAGCGAACGGG